GAUUCAUUCUUCAUACAUUUCCAAAAGAACCGGUUCAUCGUGAAAAAUGGAUUGCACAGGUGCAAAGGACGAGAGCUUUGUGGAUUCUAAAUGACAGGAGAAGGGAAAGCUGGGUUUCAGGCUCCACAGAGAUGAAGGGUGGUGAAUCUAUGGGAGAGACGGGAUCUUGCUUGGUGUUGCAAGACCCAGGGAAAAAGGAGAGGCUGACAUUACAACGGCUGAGGAACAAUGAACCAACUAACUCGAUGUGGGUACAGCCACUUUCUGUGUAGAGUUCCAUUUAGAGGGUGAGGGCACCGAGUGAAGAAGGCACAGGAGUGGAGUUUCUUGGUUUUGUUCAGAAGAGAACUGCUCCAAUAAAAUUACUGCUGAAACCACCGAAAGACCC